GUUAAUACUGUGACGAGGACAAGUAUAGAAUAAAAACAUUUAUAACAGAGACCAAGAAUGCUGAGAACUUGGAUAAAUAAUUGUUUUAUAUAUCACCUCUGAGUUAAAAUCUGAAUCAAGUAAGAUUUUAGGUAUCUCUGCCUUAAAGAGUUAAGUGUCUAGGUAACUAGAAACUAAGGUGGUACCGCGGAUUAUUAUAGUUCGUCCUUAUA
rnacentral:ncRNA from 1 species